rnacentral:rRNA from 1 species
UACGUAGGGCGCAAGCGUUGUCCGGAAUUAUUGGGCGUAAAGAGCUCGUAGGCGGCCUGUUGCGUCCGCUGUGAAAUCCCGGGGCUCAACCCCGGGCGUGCAGUGGAUACGGGCUGGCUGGAGGCAGGCAGGGGAGAACGGAAUUCCUGGUGUAGCGGUGAAAUGCGCAGAUAUCGGGAGGAACACCGGUGGCGAAGGCGGUUCUCUGGGCCUGUACUGACGCUGAGGAGCGAAAGCGUGGGGAGCGAACAGG